CCCUACGGGGCGCAGCAGUGAGGAAUAUUGGUCAAUGGGAGAGAUCCUGAACCAGCCCAGCCGCGUGAGGGAAGACGGCCCUAUGGGUUGUAAACCUCUUUUGUCGGUGAACAAAACCCGGGACGAGUCCCGGACUGCGUGUAUCCGAAGAAAAAGCAUCGGCUAACUCCGUGCCAGCAGCCGCGGUAAUACGGAGGAUGCGAGCGUUAUCCGGAUUUAUUGGGUUUAAAGGGUGCGUAGGCGGUCCGUUAAGUCAGCGGUAAAAUUGCGGGGCUCAACCCCGUCGAGCCGUUGAAACUGGCAGA
rnacentral:rRNA from 1 species